rnacentral:rRNA from 1 species
GGAUUGGCGCAUCGGUCGUGCCUUACGGGGUAUGAACUGGUGCAGUCAAUUUCUCACCUUCUGGAGAACCGCGAUGUCCUUAAUUGGGUGCCGCGGGGAACCAGGACCUUUACUUUGAAAAAAUUAGAGUGUUUAAAGCAGGCAUUUUUGCUUGAAUACAUUAGCAUGGAAUAAUAAAAUAGGACGGCAUGGUUCUAUUUUGUUGGUUUCUAGGACCACCGUAAUGAUUAAUAGGGAUAGUUGGG